GACAGAGGUGCCAAGCGUUAGGCGGAAUCACUGGGCUUAAAGCGUGUGUAGGUGGAUUUGUAAGUACCUUGUGAAAUCCCAUGGCUCAACCAUGGAACUGCUCGGUAUACUGCGAAUCUUGAGCCACUUAGGGGCUACCGGAACAAAUGGUGGAGCGGUGAAAUGCGUAGAUAUCAUUGGAACGCCAAUGGUGAAAACAGGUAGCUGGGAGUGUGCUGACACUGAGACACGAAAGCCAGGGAGCGAACGGG
rnacentral:rRNA from 1 species